rnacentral:lncRNA from 1 species
UAAAAUCCCAAUAAUAUUGUUAUUAUUUUAUCAUUAUUAUAAUUUUAAUACAAAUCAACUAUAUAUAAAAAUAUUUAUAAAUCAACUUUUGAUAUGCAAACCAAAAACCGCACCAAAACCAAUCAAAAACCAAAACCACACCACAAAACCAAAACCAAUCAACUUUUGCCCCGAAUAAACCAAUCAACUUUUGCCCCGAAGUUGUCAAUUGUUUCGAACGAAACCAAUCAAAACCGCACCACGAUAACUGUUCAGAUUGCCAUCCCUAGAAUAAACACAAUAUUGGAA